GAUCAUGGCUCAGGAUGAACGCUAGCUACAGGCUUAACACAUGCAAGUCGAGGGGCAUCAGGGUGUAGCAAUACACCGCUGGCGACCGGCGCACGGGUGAGUAACACGUAUCCAACCUGCCCUUUACUCGGGGAUAGCCUUUCGAAAGAAAGAUUAAUACCCGAUGGUAUAACAUGACCUCCUGGUUUUGUUUAUUAAAGAAUUCGGUUAGAGGAUGGGGAGUGCGUUCCAUUAGGCAGUUGGCAGGGUAACGGG
rnacentral:rRNA from 1 species